AUUUUUCAUUUUAAUGAUUUUGUAUCUAGUUCCUACUAUCGCCCAGCCCUAGUUUAGAGUAAUAUCAAUUUAGGAAAAUUGAUGCAUCAUAAUUAUAAAGAGUACUUUAUUGCCAGUAAUGGCACAAGGGAUGGGGUCAAGGCAGCCAAUGCAGCAAAAGGCGCAAACUAGACUACAUGUAUUAUCAUUACAAAAUACAAUAGCACAUUUUACAUUUAUUAUUGUCUGUAUUCCUUUAUUUAUAUAGGGUAUAUCUUAAUGUGUGUUUCUCGUAUGCAUCAAGAUAUGAAAUUACUGAUACUAUACAUGCAGUCACUGGUUGAUGAAUACUAGACUAUACUACCAAUGUAGCAAGAGAGCUGUACAUUGUGAGGAAGGACAAGCAGUAAAUCAGACAGAGACUGCAUUAAUACAACAUUAUAAAGAAAGAGGAGGAGGAGAAGGUGAACUAUCAGAAGCAGUACUUAGUCUAGAAGAACUCAUGAGUCAUUAUGCUGCUGAGAGAAAGAAAAGAACUGAACUAUUUGAUGCUAAGAUAAUGUUAUAUGUCAAACAUUCAGCUGAAAACAGAUAAUAAUAUCUUUAGUAUUAUUUGUAUGCUAAAGACAUAAAACAGAUAGUUCAUUGUUAUAUUACUCUCUUGUUGAGCUACAAACAAAUAUUCUUCUUGUAA